UCCUCUCCUCGCUCGCCUCCUACUCUCCCCCACGCCGCCCCUUCUCUCUCCCCGCUCGUCUCCUCUUCCCUCGACGCCGGCUCCCCUGUCCUCGCCACCUCUCCUCCUUUUCCUCCUCUCUCUCCCGCGCCGCCGUUCUGCCCCCAUCCACCCGUGCUCGACCCCGAACCUGGAUCCCAGCCCACCGGAUCGGAGGCGUCUGGGCGUGGAGGCGAGCUUUUCCGACGGCAGCGAUGACCACCAUCCAGGCCCCCUUGCUCACGGUGGAUAGGCUACGACCGAGGGGACGCAGAGGAGGAGCGGGCCUCGCGGAGGAGGGGCCGCAGCUGUGGGAGCUCUCCACGGAGGAGGAUUCCGUGGCGGUGGAGCGGAGCGUGCGGUGGCGCGGAAGUAGCAGUGGAGGCCGGAAGAGCGCGGCGCGGCAUCACGUGGCUGUGGUGGCCGAAGGGGCGGCGCGGCGUUGCUGCCUCUACCUCCAUCCUGACCUUUUUACUCGCGCGCAGGUACCAAGUCGUCUCUCUCUCUCUUGCUUUGAUCCCCAUAAAUUCUCAUCUUCACCUAUGUGGAUUUUGUUUAUCUAUGCCUGCUAUGUGUUUGAAAAAAAUCCAAGCAGUAUGAGGAGAAGAUUUUGUGGUUGAUUUAGUUUUUAGGAUCUGCCGCCCCCUUUUUUCAUUUUUGCAACAACCUGUUUCAUGAUGAGACCCAUCAAUUAUCUUUUCAUAUUUUGACAGUACUAUAUUGUUUACUUUGUGGAACUUUAGUUACCUGUAAGAUGCAAUCAACACCUUGAAAUAUUUGGUGUUUCUCGGUGCUCUGUCGUUGACCAUAAAAUCAUGAAAGUUUGUUAAUAACUUAGAAGGAUAUGAUUCCAGCAAUGUGUUUCACGCAUAUUAUGUACUAUUAGUGUGUGAACAAUAUUUUUCACGGGCUAUACUUUUCUCAGCAUGUUUCUAUCUGGUUGGUAUCCGCUGGUACCAUUCAUUGUGAGUGCUUUUAGGGGUUGCUCAACUCUCGGCUAUUUUCACCAUCUAAAUGAUUGCAUCUUCCCGUUCUCACAAUUUCUCAAAGGUUAUUGUAUUGAUACUAUGGAAUUUAUAGUGAAAAAAUAAUAGGGUUCAAUUCGAUUCAUUUUGGAAACUCUAGCGGGGCCAUCCCAAAUUCCUCUCAGCUGUCAUAAUUGAAUAAAAGGGAUCGUAUAGCUUUCCAAUUCAGCAACAUACAUCUAUCACCUAGGCAUAACUGCCAACAUCAGCAAGUGCAUUUGCUCGUAAGGACCAUUCGAAGGCCAAGGCCACAGCUUACCGCGUACUGCAGCUCGGAUUGAUCUUGGGGCAUCGCCUGGGCCUACUUCUUGGAGUUGGCCUCCAUACAGGUUCGAGAUUAUUUACAGAAGACCAUGGUGUACUGCAUCAUAUCUACAUGGCAACACCGGUACAGUUACAGUGUGCUGAAUCAUAAGAGUACUACAACUCUGAAUCUUGAAAUGUUAAUAUUUACGUUCUCAUGAUUUUCUUGCAGUUCAUAGUACUUGCGAGUAUACCCCUAAAAAAUUAGUACUUGAGAGUACGACGAUCUUUUCUUUUGUUUGAUUACCUCAAGGCAAUCUCUUGAACUAAGCAGAGUUAUGUUUCCUAUGUACAGUUUGUUGCUCUCGCUCAACCAAUCAAUGCUUUAGCUUUUGUUUUUGACGGUGUCAAUUAUGGAGCAUCAGAUUUUGCAUAUGCUGCUUAUUCGUUGGCAAGUCCGCUAAUUUUCCAGCUUAUUUGUGCUCUGGCUUUCCAGCUUUCUCUUCUGACACAUUCCAUUGAAUUAGAGAAAAGUAUUCUUUUCAUCUCUCAAUUUUUGGCGAAGUCUAGAUUUAAUCCUUCAACUAUGAAACCGGACAACUUGCACCUCAAACUCUUAAUACCGGACAAAUUUCGUCCCUUGUAGCAGCCGACCUAAUUUUGUUGCUUACUUGGCGUAGUGUUUGACUGGUUUUGACCGGUUCACGCCAACAUGGCAAAGGAGAUGGUAAAUCGCUCUUCGCUUCGGAACAAAAAAUAGCUUGCACCGGCGCCGGCGAUCUGGACGAUGCGGGUGCCAGCGAGGAGAGACUGCGCGAUGCCUGGGAGCGAGCUGGGCUGUCCGUGCGGCUGGACAAGCAAGCACGGGCACACGGAAUGGCCAGAGCUUCGUCGGCGACGACGUCCAGUGGAGGCAACGGGCGGCGCCAUGCGGGCAGCGAGCUAGAUGGCAUGGGGUGGCUCGGGGAGAGAGACUAAACGACCAUGGGUUCAUCUAUAGCACGUACACGUGCUCAGACGUGGCGGAUAAGCACCAGAGCGACGGCUGCGUCGACGGCAGCGGGCGGCGGAGCAUAGGCUCGCGGCUGGCUGAGCUCGUGGACUAGGGGCUUCUUGGGGAGGACGUGCGAGGCUUCAGUAGGACCACGGGGAGCUUAGGAAGCCGACAGGAAGAACCAGAGGUUGCCGGACGAGGAGCUCGCGGCGCGGCGAUGGUCACCGGAGUCGAGGAAGACGAUUUGGGCAGCGGCGAUUUAGGGCCUCCGCGUCGCUUCCUUUGGUUUUGUUACUAGAACGGCGAGGUGAAGCGUCUUGAUAUGGCGAGCCGUGGAGGAGGCCUAUGCCGCUACGGGCAACCCGUGCUGCUCACAACGAGUUGCAAAACGAUUCCCUCCUGCCGGCACAAUAACAGACACCAGCUGGCACAGCAACUAAAGACACAGGCGCUCCAUACCCCCUUGAGCGCUGGCUCGGCGCCAUCGCCGCCGGCAUCCUAGCAUGCCGCAGCAGCGCUUGUCGCCGGUGCACUCUAAGUGCUCGAUGAAAUGCCCAUUAGAGAGAUAAUAGGAGGGAAGAAGAGAUAGGACAAGUAGGAUAGAAAAAUACUGCCACCUAGACAAUGACCGGUCAAAAACAUGCCAAGUCAGCUUGGAAACCGCUUCGGUUGUGUGGAGGGACGAAAUUUGUUCGGUAUUAAAAGUUUGAGGUGCAUGUUGUCCAGUUUUAUAGUUGAGGGACUAAAUCUAGAUUUCAUCAAGAGUUGAAGGAUGAAAAAUAUACUUUUCUCAUUGAAUUAUGUAUCCUCAGAUACUUGUGGCUGUUGUCAGCAUCGCUUGCAUUGUCACCCUCGCCAGUUAGAGUGAUUUCAUUGGAAUCUGGAUAGCCUUGUCCAUCUACAUGUGCCUCCGCAUGUUUGCAGGAUUAUGGAGUAUUGGGACUGCUAUCGGGCCAUGGGCUUUCCUUCGCAGCUGAACAUGUAACGUACAUUCUCGUAGAUAGUAUAAGCUGCGGCGGCUCGCUGUUUGUGUGGUGAGGGUUACUUCCCCUGGUGCAGUAAUACCAUUUUGGAGUGUCCCUUGUUUGCAACUAUAUUUAUCUACAGCCUCUGCUAACAGGGCUCCGGUUCAGAGAAAAUCAAAGGGACAAACAAAGCUCGGAUGCACGUUUGUUGGUAGAUCAGUUUAAGUUGCUUUUAUUGAACCAAAAGUUAAUGUUGUUGGCCUUGCCAGCCUGCCAGCCCUCAAAGAGGUCGUUCAGCCUCGAAGGAGAGGGGACUGAUGGAUGCUAGGGAAAGAAACUAGGUGAAGCUCUGAUGCUUGAUCGAGAACCAGAUGCUUUCAAAGUUCUUCUGGUUGAGUCGUUUACUUACUAGCAAUGACAUUCACAAUGGGAAGCCUUUAUAGCAGGCUACUUUGAUUGAUUCCCAAACUAUGGCUUAGUUACAAAUGUUUUGGCGGUGAUGUUUCAUACACCAGUCCAGUGUUGCUACCCAAUGAUGAGUUGUAUGAAGCACUUUGAAAUGCUUUGAAGAAAGUCUUUUAGGUGGCGGUUCUACUGCUGCUACUCCUGUGACAGCCAAGGCGUAGGUUGCAGCUCGCAGAAUUUUAAGGAGGAAAGGAAGACAUGAUUUCUUAUUGGUGAGGUGAGUUGUUUCCUUCAUAUACAAAUUGCAGCGAUGACAGACACUCACUGUGCUUGUUUGUUCAUGUAGAAAGUCAUUUGUUUUCAGUAGUAGAAACAUCUUGAUUAACCUAGCUGAAUUUUGUGGCUCAGUAGCCGCCUCCUGUAUGUAGGCAUGUUUAGAUCUUUUGUAGAAUCAGAUUGUUAAUAUUUCCUUAGAAGUAAAAAAGGUUACCUUUUGCAUUACUUGUUUACUUGGACCCAAACUGUUCAUUACCUAUUGUAUCUACAGAGUUUGUCUUAGCGUAGCGUGCAUUGGAACCAUAGUUACAGAGUUUGGCUUAGCGUGCUUUAGAACAGUAGCUGCAGAGUUUGACCUCUCUGUUCUUAUUUCUCUAUAUACUUGACACAUACCUGCCUCUAACGUGUCCAUGUGAUUCCGAUGAAUUUGCUAUAUCUAAUUUUUGAGCUUUUCAUUAUCUUCUAAUUGUUGCAUGCAUUUUUCUAAUAUACCAUUCUCUCUCAUCCAAAUAACUAAGUGUUUAUAAGGUGGCGGCAAGGCGUGCUAACAGCGCCUUGCAAUUAUGUCCGCUUUAGGAGAUUAGGAGCUUAGACGUCUAUAGGCGCUUAGGCGUCAGAGCGGUUGGUGCUCACCUUAGGUCACCUUACUGCCUUAAAAAUCAUGGUGGUCACACACUCAUAACACAUUACCUUUGAAGCUUGUGUAUGUGAAUGUAUAGAUACACUUAGUGAUCUGCGCAUUGGUAAGUACUAACUGAACUGAAUAUCUUGAUCACAAGAUAUAUCAUUGUUGGCCGGCUUGGUUUAAGAACCCAUUAGCUGGUUUAUACUCCCGUCAUCCCAAAAUAAGUGUCGCUGAUUUAGUACAACUUUACUAAAUCAACGACACUUAUUUUGGGACGGAGGGAGUAUAAUAUUUGUCUGCUUAUUCCUUUGUUUUUUUUUUCUCUUUUGCUUUCAAUCGUAAGUGGCACAGAUGUGCAGUUCAAAGGCAGGCUGUGUCAAAGAUGUGAAUCAAAUAGUUAUGCCGUCGGUGCAUGUUUUUGUUGCUCUUAGUGUUUUCGUUAUGAUGAUUUUGCUAUCUUAGUCUUUUCGUUCUGAUGAUUUUGCUAUCUCAGCGAUCCGUGUUUGACAAUCUGUUACCUUUUACGGGCAGUGCAUGUGAAAGUGUACUAUGCAAGCAUUAUGGGAUAAUGAUACACUGCUUAUUCGUACGUUCACACACUCUGAACACCACAAUCAGACUAGGAAGAUGCCUAAAUAAACUAUGAGGCUGCCUAUAUAUAAGUGUUUCUGUAAACCAGAUAUAAGCCAUUAUACUAUCUGUACUACUAUCUGCAAUGUAAUCCACAUUGCAUUAUAUUUCCAGCUACAUCUCCUACUAACAUUCUUUCUAACUGGCUUCUUGCGCCAUUGGCGCAACCGGGUCAUCUAGUUUUAGUAAAUGCUCAGUGCUAGCUCUCAGCCCCUACGUUCCUCAGGCAAGCUCACAUCAUUCUUUGGUCUUUCAUUUCUGAGAUUUUUUAAAACAUGAGGAAAAAUAGAAACUCUGAAUUUUUUCAAAUAUCGAACAAUUUUUUGAAAGCACAGACAAUCUUUUACAAAAUGGAACACAUUAAAAAAUUCUGAAUUUUUUUUGAAAAGUUUUUCAAAUUCCAAAGUAUUUUGUGAUUUGACAAAUUUUGAAAACGUGAGCAAAAUUUUAAAAUCCAAAAUAUUUUGGAAACACGGGCAUUUUCUUAAAUUGCAAUUUUUUUGAAAAUGUGAAUAAAAGUUUGACACUCAGAACAUUUUUUGAAAAACAUGAACAAAUUUGGAAUUCCGAACAUGUUUUAAAGAGAUGAACAAUUUUUUUAAAAUGUGAAGAGAAUUUGAAAUUUUCUAUUAGUAAAGAAAGAACAAAUUUUAAAUAUGUUGAUCAUUUUUUGAACUUUGCGAAUUUUAGGAAGAAAAAAAUAACAUAAAAGAAAAUAAAAAACACACACAAAAUCGAUUCCUGAACCUUAUAGAAGGUCCCAAACCAAUUUGCGCUUUUGAAUAUUUGUUCAAAAUUCCAAAAAAUGUUUUUUUCAAAAUAAUUUCAAAAAAAUGUUUGUGUCUUUCUCAGAAUGGCAAAAUACAAACAUUUUUAAAAAGAGCAACAAAAAUUAUGAAUACAAACAUUUUUAAAUUUUACAAACAUUUAUUGAAAAAAACACUAACAAGUUUGGAAUUCUAAUUUUUUUUCCCGAAAAUAGGAACAAAUUGUGGAAAGGCCGAUAACUGGCCGGAUGUGUCGUGCCUUGCAUACGGUGUCGGAAUUCUUUCAAACCUGGCAUGGAUGUGUAACAUGGGUCAGAAGGCUCCAUUUGAGAGCACAUUGUUUCUCAACAUCUCUUCCACUAGAUCUUAUUCUAACGCACUGUCACCGCCACCUUCUCGUUGAUGCCUGAAAGAAACCAAGAUUUUCCACCAUUUCCACUCGCAUCUCGGCUCCCCUUCCACCAAGAUCGACAUGUCGGAAGUCUGGGAUGUUAAGGCUUGGACCUAUCAUCGAAUAGGCGGUUUGUCACUGCCUUAUGUAAAGUCGCUUGGGUAUAAAUCAUUUCACCGAAAGUGGUUCAAAAUCAUGUUGGAAAACAAUAAAAAAUGAUCAUCAGUUGAACCAUAAGACCCUUUUUCUGCAAACUUAGUAAAUAUUAUCCUGCUAUCCAAAACUACUCAUGUCUAAAAAUUGGAUAUUACAUGUCGAUUCAACUUAUUCAUAUCAUAUUUAGUUUUUAUUCAAUCCAAUUGCGAAUUGAGUUGAUUUGAUAUUAAGAAUAAUAAGCUUCAAAAAAGUGUAAACAUACAAAAAUGAUAUAUUCAUGAUAUUUUUUGCAUUCAUAAUUUGAUUAAUAUUUUGUAUUCCAUUGACCUUUAGUAGAAACUUUACUUUAAAUAUAGAAUGCAGAAUUAAAUUUCUUUUACUGUUCACCACAUUCUCAUGCAUCCUUCAAAUUGUGUGAAAAAUAAAUAACUUGAUCAUGUAUGUAGUUUAUGUCAUGAAUAACUUUGUUCACUAAUAUUUUUCUAUUAUUCUAAUUUCUGAUUUUACUGCUAUCUUACACAAGUUAAGUUAACAUAUAUCAUAAUUUUUUAAAAUUUAUACUAAUUUUUUUACUUAUAUGAUGUAUAGUGUCAACAUAACAAAUGUUGCAUAAUAUUAAUAAACAGAAGAUUUUUUGCCAAAAAUUAUAAGAUCUUAUUCAGUAUAUUCUACAUUAUAUUUAUCACAAUUAACAAUAUGAUAAUGCUAUUAAUUUUUUUAUAUAUUAUUAUUUAUUAUAAAUAUAACAUCAAUCUUUUUCAAAUUAACCCGUGCUCAAUUAAAGUUAUAUUUGGCAGCAAAAGCUAUGCUUUGCCUUUAAAUUUUAUUGAGGUAUCGAUAAUUUUUUUAUUUUAAUUGAAUCACUCUUAGACAUAAAAGAACUUAAUGAUAAAACAUAAUUUCCUAUGAACUAAUAUGCAUCGUUA